CUCAAUUCUAAUCUAAUUAGGAGUCUUAAUCAAUUUAAAAAUAAUAGUAAAAUAGAGAUUCUACUCUAUAUAGGAAAUAUUCUUCUAUCUUAUUGAGAAAUAUUUCUCCUACUUAAAUUAGGAAAAUAUCUUUCCAAAUCCUACUAGGAUUUUGAGUUAUAAUUCUAACAAUCUCCACCUUGACUCUAAAUCCAUAAACCAUUGCAUACCUCGAAUUCUUGAGUGCCUUCAAUCAUUAUAUCUCCAUGCUUGAG
rnacentral:misc_RNA from 1 species